AUCAACGCUGGGCGGCGUGCCUAACACAUGCAAGUCGAAGCGAGGAAAGGGUCCGCAAUACCUGAGUACAAGGGGCGACACGGGUGAGUAACACGUGACUAACCUACCUCUGGAGUGGGGAAUAAACUGCCGGGAAACCUUAGCUAAUACCGCAUAACACCUACGCAGGUCAAAGGCCGAAAUUCGCUUAGGGAGAGGGGGGUCGCGGCCUGAUUAGCUAGUUGGUAGGGGUAACUGGCCCUACCAAGGACAGAUGAUCGGUAUCCGGCCUGAGAGGGGCGCACGGACACACUGGAACUGAAACACGGUCCAGGACUCCUACGGGAGGCAGCAGUGGGGAAUUUUGCGCAAUGGGGGAAAACCCUGACGCAGCAACGCCGCGUGGAGGAUGAAGUCCCUUCGGGACUGUAAACUCCUUUCGAUCCGCGACGAUACUGACGGUACCGGGGAAGGAAGAAGCCCCGGCUAACUCUGUGCCAGCAGCCGCGGUAAUACAGAGGGGGGCGAGCGUUGUGUUCGGAAUUAUUGGGCGUAAAGGGCUGCGUAGGCGGUUGCGGUAAGUCUGACCUGUGAAAUCUCCUGGGCUCAACUCAGGGAGUCUUGCAUGCGGAAAACUGCCGGGCUUGAGUAUGGGAGAGGUGCGUGGAAUUCCCUGGUGUAAGCGGUGAAAUGCGUAGAUAUCAGGGAGGAACACCUGUGGCGGAAAGCGGCUCCACUGGACCACUAAACUGACGCUGAUGCACGAAAAGCUAGGGGAGCAAACAGGAUUAGAUACCCUGGUAGUCCUAGCCCUAAACGAUGGACUGCUUGGUGUGAUGGGUACCCAAUCCCAGCCGUGGCCGUAGCUAACGCGAUAAGCAGUCCCGCCUGGGGGAGUACGGGUCGCAAGGCUGAAACUCAAAGGAAUUGACGGGGGGCCCGCACAAGCGGUGGAGCAUGUGGUUUCAAUUCGACGCAACGCGAAGAACCUUACCUGGGCUCGAAGCUCAGUAUGGAAUCCGGUAGGAAACAUCGGCUCCCGCAAGGGACCGCUGCUAUAGGUGCUGCAUGGCUGUCGUCAGCUCGUGUCGUGAGAUGUUGGGUUAAGUCCCGCAACGAGCGCAACCCUUAUCCUCCAGUUUACCUACGCUUAAUGUCGAGGUACUCUGGCUGAAACCGCCUCGGAUAACGGGGAGGAAGGUGGGGAUGACGUCAAGUCCUCAUGGCCUUUAUGUCCAGGGCUACACACGUGCUACAAUGGGCCGAUACAAACCGUCGCAAAACCCGCUGAGGGGGAAGCUAAUCGGAGAAAAGUCCGGCCUCAGUUUCGGAUUGUAGUCUGCAACUCGACUCCAUGAAGCUGGAAUCGCUAGUAAUCGCAGGAUCAGAAACGCCUGCGGUGAAUACGUUUCCCGGGCCUUGUACACACCGCCCGUCACAUCACGAAAGUGGGACCUACUAGAAGCCGGUGAGCCUAACCGCAAGGAGGCAGCCGUCCAAGGUGUAUAGUUCAUGAUUGGGGUG
rnacentral:rRNA from 1 species